AAGCAGCUGUCCCUGCUUUUGGAUUCUGUGUCCUUUUGUUUUGUGCCUGAACUCAGCCAGGAGCUCUCCUUUUUAUCUGUGCUGGCCUUGCUGGAUUUCUGCAAACUGUUCUUGUGCUCUGAUAAGGCUGACCUUGAACUUUAGCCAGCUCUCUUUGCCCUGGCAAGCAGUUUCCCAUGGGAUCCUUCCAAGCAGGUCCCUGCAGAGGCUGAAAUCUUCUCUUUGCAUUCAAGGACUGCAAUACUGUUGAUCCUACUCAUUCCUCUUGGUAUCUUGAGCAUCUGGAUUUCCUCUGACCCAUUAAAUUGACCAGCAGACAACAGAGGCACAUGAGAGACAGCUCCUGUGAGAGUGAGACUUUUCCCAGCUGCCCUAGGAAGGUUUUAUCUGCCCCUCCUUCUUGAUUAUCAGCCUGAUAUUUACCUGGAGCACUGAAUAACUGCUUUUGCUCAACAGUAGGGUUGAGAAAUGCAUCCCCUGGGCCCCCCAUCUUUCACCCUUCCAACAGGGUGUCCUGCUCUUUGGUACAGCACACACAGGCCUUGUGUGCUUAUUUAAUUCUGAGUUUGAAGAGCCAGAUGCAAAGAGAAGUGGAGGGAGUACUUUGAAGAAUAAGAACAGGAUCUCUUAUGGCAGCUUUCUUGCAUGGUACUAUUUGCUGCUGCAGAAAUGAGAAAGUAUUCCUCCUGGCAGAAGAAGCAUGGCAUAUGGCAUCAGGAAUUUGAACCCAAGUGAAGUCAAGUCCAGAGCAGUCAAAUCUGGUCCGUGUCCAGGUCCGUCAGAUCCAGGUCUAGGUCUGCCCCUGUGUCCAGAAACAUCUCUGCAAGACCAGAGGCAGGAAUACAAGUGUAUCCCACAGAUGUGCCCUGACCACUUGAGCCUACUCAUCUGCUGACAUCUGUUGAAUGUGGCCCUGAGCUCACAGACCCUCUUCUUGAGAUUUGUAACAAAGGUGGUUAAAAUUUAAAAAUAAAAAAAUCCCAAACAAUCCUAAACA
rnacentral:lncRNA from 1 species